rnacentral:lncRNA from 1 species
CUAGUUGGGUUCGUUAGCUCCUGAGCCACGAUGGGAACUCCCUCUGGCCCUUUUGUCUGCCGCCUUCCACCUUCCGGGGUGCCUUGAUCCCUGUCCCCGCCCCCCACCAUACACACACCUUUAAAGUUUCCCUCCCUACCCGUCCCCACCCGUCUAGGCCGGGAAGCGCAGCCUGCCGGACUCGGACAAGGCCAUCCUGGACAUCCUGGAGCAUGACCGCAAGGAGGCCCUGGAGGACCGACAGGAGCUAGUUAACAAGAUCUACAACCUGCAGGAGGAGGUCCGCCAGGCGGAGGAGCUGCGAGACAAGGUGGGAGCCCAAGGGCGGUCAGGGCAGCGUCCAGGCCCCUCCCUCCUCCAGGGACUGGGUCUGACGCCUGUGUAAACACCCUGAGCAGCAGCACCUGGCCGGUACUUGGGAUCCUUGUGUCAGCUUGGAACCUGCCUCCCCUCCCCCACUACCGGCCCCAGGAGGACACCCGCGGUGUCCGCCCUGUCCCCCACCACGUUCCCCGACCCAGUCCAGUGGGUGGACUGGCCUCCCGCCGUGGUCCCUUCUAGUCGCCUAGCUGAUGCUCAGAAGGUCAGGCGCUGUCGGGAGGGGCAGGCCCGCUCAGGCCAGCCAGCAGGGCGACCCAGCUCGAAAACGCCGGCAGCCCUGCCUUGCGGGUCGUAUUGAUUUCUCGCUGCUGCUUCCAGUACCUGGAGGAGAAGGAGGACCUGGAGCUGAAGUGCUCGACGCUGGGGAAGGACUGCGAAAUGUACAAGCACCGCAUGAACACGGUCAUGCUGCAGCUGGAGGAGGUGGAGCGGGAGCGGGACCAGGCCUUCCAUUCCCGGGACGAAGCGCAGACGCAGUACUCACAGUGCCUGAUCGAGAAGGACAAGUACCGGAAGCAGAUCCGCGAGCUGGAGGAGAAGAACGACGAGAUGCGGAUCGAGAUGGUCCGGCGGGAGGCCUGCAUCGUGAACCUGGAGAGCAAGCUCCGGCGCCUCUCCAAGGACAGCAGCAGCCUGGACCAGGUGGGCUGGCCGGGCCUGCGCCCGCCCUGCAGACCCGUGCCCUUCCCCACCGGGGCCCGGGACCGUCCUGCGUCUGGGUAGCGAUGAGCAGAAGCCGCUCGUUUUGCAGCAAAACCCUGGCCUGGCCACCCCUGGCCGGGUGGGCUCAGGCAAGCCACGUCCACGUUAGGACUGCAGCUCGUGCUCGGCUGCCCUCUGCCAGCCCUCAGCCUUGCCCCUGGGUUUCCUUAAACCCAUCGGGACGGUCGCUGGGUUUAAGAUGCCCUGCUCCCAUUAAAGU